UAUCUCAAUAACCAAUCUAAACUAAGAACCCAUCACUUUUUCAUCCCAUCUGCUGCCACUAUCAGAAACUUGCACAGUGGAUCCUACAACAGGUGACAUUUCAUGUGUUUUCAGCUUCACCUACCUGAUGCUGAUCGACCAAAGAAAUAAGAAAAAGGUCAGUUGGUCCUACCUCUUUUCGCUUAUCAAAGCAAAUACUACAGUUGAGUAUUUCCUUGUAUUCCCUUAGCUUCUGCUGAAGCUUCUCAAUAACAGAUGACCCUUCGAUGUGUGACCUCAACCGUGAAGUCUUUCUCCUCAGAGCUUCUACAUCCUCCUCUGCUCUUUUCCUCUCAAACCUAGUCAAGUAACGCGAGGACAAGAUAAU
rnacentral:lncRNA from 1 species